rnacentral:rRNA from 1 species
UACGUAGGUCCCGAGCGUUGUCCGGACUUAUUGGGCGUAAAGCGAGCGCAGGUGGUUUAUUAAGUCUGGUGUAAAAGGCAGUGGCUCAACCAUUGUAUGCAUUGGAAACUGGUAGACUUGAGUGCAGGAGAGGAGAGUGGAAUUCCAUGUGUAGCGGUGAAAUGCGUAGAUAUAUGGAGAAACACCGGUGGCGAAAGCGGCUCUCUGGCCUGUAACUGACACUGAGGCUCGAAAGCGUGGGGAGCAAACAGG